GACGACCUUUGGCGGCGCGCCUAACACAUGCAAGUCGAACGAGAGAUGAGGAGCUUGCUCUUCAAAUCGAGUGGCGAACGGGUGAGUAACGCGUGAGGAACCUGCCUCAAAGAGGGGGACAACAGUUGGAAACGACUGCUAAUACCGCAUAAGCCCACGGCUCGGCAUCGAGCAGAGGGAAAAGGAGCAAUCCGCUUUGAGAUGGCCUCGCGUCCGAUUAGCUAGUUGGUGAGGUAACGGCCCACCAAGGCGACGAUCGGUAGCCGGACUGAGAGGUUGAACGGCCACAUUGGGACUGAGACACGGCCCAGACUCCUACGGGAGGCAGCAGUGGGGAAUAUUGCACAAUGGGGGAAACCCUGAUGCAGCGACGCCGCGUGGAGGAAGAAGGUCUUCGGAUUGUAAACUCCUGUUGUUGAGGAAGAUAAUGACGGUACUCAACAAGGAAGUGACGGCUAACUACGUGCCAGCAGCCGCGGUAAAACGUAGGUCACAAGCGUUGUCCGGAAUUACUGGGUGUAAAGGGAGCGCAGGCGGGAGAACAAGUUGGAAGUGAAAUCCAUGGGCUCAACCCAUGAACUGCUUUCAAAACUGUUUUUCUUGAGUAGUGCAGAGGUAGGCGGAAUUCCCGGUGUAGCGGUGGAAUGCGUAGAUAUCGGGAGGAACACCAGUGGCGAAGGCGGCCUACUGGGCACCAACUGACGCUGAGGCUCGAAAGUGUGGGUAGCAAACAGGAUUAGAUACCCUGGUAGUCCACACCGUAAACGAUGAUUACUAGGUGUUGGAGGAUUGACCCCUUCAGUGCCGCAGUUAACACAAUAAGUAAUCCACCUGGGGAGUACGACCGCAAGGUUGAAACUCAAAGGAAUUGACGGGGGCCCGCACAAGCAGUGGAGUAUGUGGUUUAAUUCGACGCAACGCGAAGAACCUUACCAAGUCUUGACAUCCUGCGACGCACAUAGAAAUAUGUGUUUCCUUCGGGACGCAGAGACAGGUGGUGCAUGGUUGUCGUCAGCUCGUGUCGUGAGAUGUUGGGUUAAGUCCCGCAACGAGCGCAACCCUUAUGGUCAGUUACUACGCAAGAGGACUCUGGCCAGACUGCCGUUGACAAAACGGAGGAAGGUGGGGAUGACGUCAAAUCAUCAUGCCCUUUAUGACUUGGGCUACACACGUACUACAAUGGCGUUAAACAAAGAGAAGCAAGACCGCGAGGUGGAGCAAAACUCAGAAACAACGUCCCAGUUCGGACUGCAGGCUGCAACUCGCCUGCACGAAGUCGGAAUUGCUAGUAAUCGUGGAUCAGCAUGCCACGGUGAAUACGUUCCCGGGCCUUGCACA
rnacentral:rRNA from 1 species